rnacentral:misc_RNA from 1 species
CUGAAUUGUCAACACGAGUUGUUGCUGGUCCUCAAACGGGGGCAUGUGCACGCUCUGUUUACACAUCCACUCACACCUGUGCACCCUCUGUAGUUCUGUGGCCUGGGGGACUCUGUCGCCCUCGCUGUGGUCCUACGUUUUACACACACACUGUAACAGAGUUUUAUGGAAUGCAUGCCGCGUUUAACGCAAUACAAUA